GACCAUAGCUCAGCUGUUACAGUAUCUGAUUUGUACCUAGAAAGCCCCAGGUUCAAUCCCUGGCACCACCA